AAAGAGAAGAUAGAUUUAAGAAUUCACACAAACAAAAAUAAAUUGGAUGUGGAGUGUGAAGGAUGAAGAAUUGAAGACAUUAAGUUUCAGUGGUGAUGGAUUAGUUAGUGGGCAAUGAUUACCUGUACGAUGCAUUAGUUAGCAAGUCAUUAACAUAUUUGUACAACCAAUUGAUUGCACACACACAAAUUUAUCUCCAAAGUGACAUGUAAACGAUUUAGUGGAUUUUUGACAUGACAUGGACUACCACGUGGCAGCCACAUCAGCAAGGCGCAAGACUGGGCGGCCAGCAAGGAGUCGAGACAGGGAGUUAAUUUUAAAAUUGAUUUUU